GCUUUUCGCGUUCUUCGGACUAGCCGGAGGCUCAGGUUGGUGACCAAGCGGCAAAGUUCCUAGCGCCUGUAGUGUGAACUCCAACUUUUAGGCCAAGUUGAAAAUGCAGCCGACGGCCCCCACACUUCUAACUUCAGAAACAGAACUUCAUGACCCUAGGGAGUGAGGAGGAGAGUGAAAAAUGCAUAAGUGCUGGCUCCUCCCUUACCCUUCGCUGCCUCGCAGCCUUGUUUCUAUAUUCUCACCGGGAGCUUUGGACUUUGAAAGGAUGAGGAGAAUGGGGGAGAGGAAGAGCGUGGCUUUGCCAGCUCCCUGCAGCAAUACAGCAACUUAGAAAUGGCGGGGUCAACGAAAAAAACCCGCCUGUUGGAACACUGGAAUAUGAAAUACGUCUGCCAGUACUUGCUGCCCUGUUUGCAUGUAGUGUUGGAGAUACCCCAUGAACACAGAAUUCCAAGAGACCCAGUGGUGCCUAGAAGUUUAAUGAGACUCACAGCUAGCACAAGGGUUCUUGUGGAAACAUGUGCUGAUGAGGAGGUGCCAUAAUACCAAAGUAGCCUAGAAGGUGGACCAACGCACAGAGGACUAUGAGCCUCAAGGGACUUUAUGUGAACAAGAAUUAAAUUUUGGUUAAGCCCAUGACAUUUGGAGGUUUUUUGUGUGUGUGUGUUUUGUAUUUACUUUUUAUUUGUUUUGAGACAGAGUCUUGUUGUGUUGCCCAGGCUGAGGUGCAAUAGCAUGAUCUUGGCUUACGGCAACCUCUGCCUCCCAGGUUCAAGUGAUUCUCGUGCCUCAGCCUCCUGAGUAGCUGGGAUUUCAGGCAUGCACCACCACACCUGACUAAAUUUUGUAUUUUUAGUAGAGAUGGCGUUUCAACAUGUUGCCCAGGCUGGUCUCGAACUCUUAACCUCAAGUGAUCUGCCCUCCUCAACCUCCCAAAGUGCUGGGAUUACAGGCAUGAGCCACUGUGCCUGGCCUGGAGUUUUUUUUUGUUUUUUGUUUUUUUUUCUGAAGCUCUGCUUAGCCUAUCCUGAUUAAUAUAAUGGUGCUGCUGCAGCUUUUUAAUUCUGUUGCAAACUGAAUGCCAAAUUAGCCCUGUGGAUCUAGCACACCAACAAAAUACAACUGUUCAUUGUCAUACUUUAAGGCCAUUGAAUCUCCCUGUGAGAUCCAGAGUUCUCAGGGAGUAUGGCUAGUAGUUCUAUAUGUAUGUGUUUCCAUGUCCUGAAUGAAGUAGUUCACUCUUGGGUAUAGGCCCUGAAGGUCUGAGAGUAAGACGUCUCUUAAUAUAAAUUUGCAUGGAGAAGUUUCUUGUCUUUGAAGCAGAUGGUAAAUCUAUACACCUGGAAGUCAUGGUUACUUGAAAGCUAUCCUUAAAAUGUAUCGAUACAUAACAACUUAUAAAUCACUUGUAAGACUUAUUUUCUGCCCUGAAAAAUUCCUAGAAACCUGACUUUUAAGGUAUAAUGUGACUUAUGUUGUCUUUCUCCUUUCCUUUCAUCCCUUAUUUUUUUGUUGUUGUUUAUUCUUAGAAACAGGGCCUUGAGCUGUCACCCAGGCUGGAGUACAAUAGCACAAUCAUAGCUCACUAUAACCUCAAACUUCUGAACUCAAGUGAGCCUCACACCUUGGCCUCCUAAAGUGUUGAGAUUAAAGGCGUGAGCCACCGUGCCUGGCCUAACAUGCUCUUCAUUAAUGGGAAAGUAUGUUUAGGGAAAUUAUUUUGUUUCAAUAAACAGCCUAAGUGUUUAUAAAGUCUACAGUAGUGUACAGUAAUGCCCUAGGCCUUCACAUUUACUCACCACUCACUUACUGACUCACUCAGAGCAACUUCCAGUCCUAUAAGCUCCAUUCAUGGUAAGUGCCCAAUACAGGUAUACCCUUUCUUAUCUUUUUAUGUGGUGUUUUUACUGUAUCUUUUCUAUGUUUAGAUACACAACUACUUACCAUUGUGUAACAAUUCUGUACCAUAUUCAGUUAACAUACUGUACAGGUUUGUAGUGUAGGAGCAAUGGACUAUACCAUACAGCCUAGGUGUAUAGUGGGUUACACCAUUUGGAUUUGUGUAAGUACUCUAUGAUGUUCAGACAAGGACAAAUUGUUUAACAAUGCAUUUGGAAGGAUAUAUCCCUGUCAUUAAGUGAUGCCGGAUUGUAUUUUG
rnacentral:lncRNA from 1 species